rnacentral:rRNA from 1 species
GACGAACGCUGGCGGCGUGCUUAACACAUGCAAGUCGAACGAAGAGCGAUGGAAGCUUGCUUCUAUCAAUCUUAGUGGCGAACGGGUGAGUAACGCGUAAUCAACCUGCCCUUCAGAGGGGGACAACAGUUGGAAACGACUGCUAAUACCGCAUACGAUCUAAUCUCGGCAUCGAGGAUAGAUGAAAGGUGGCCUCUACAUGUAAGCUAUCACUGAAGGAGGGGAUUGCGUCUGCUCAACUAGUUGGAGGGGUAACGGCCCACCAAGGCGAUGAUCAGUAGCCGGUCUGAGAGGAUGAACGACCACAUUGGGACUGAGACACGGCCCAGACUCCUACGGGAGGCAGCAGUGGGGAAUCUUCGGCAAUGGACGAAAGUCUGACGGAGCAAAGCCGCGUGGGGGAUGACGGCCUUCGGGUUGGAAAGCUCUGUUAAUCGGGACGAAAGGCCUUCUUGCGAAUAGUGAGAAGGAUUGACGGUACCGGAAUAGAAAGCCACGGCUAACUACGUG